rnacentral:rRNA from 1 species
GAGAAGUCCACUGAACCUUAUCAUUUAGAGGAAGGAGAAGUCG